GACAGAGGGUGCAAACGUUGCUCGGAAUCACUGGGCGUAAAGGGCGUGUAGGCGGGAAUGUAAGUCGGGCGUGAAAUCCCUAGGCUCAACCUAGGAACUGCACUCGAAACUGCGUUUCUUGAGUAUCGGAGAGGAAAGCGGAAUACCUGGUGUAGAGGUGAAAUUCGUAGAUAUCGAGAGGAACACCGGUGGCGAAGGCGGCCUUCUGGACAGUGACUGACGCUGAGACGCGAAAGCGUGGGGAGCAAACAGG
rnacentral:rRNA from 1 species